AGAGAACCGACCCGAUGGAUCAAACCACCAUUUACCACACCGCUGUCACCCAUGACUCCCCCUGGACCGACGGGCACAAUAGAUUCCCGCCGGUCAUUGUGUGGUCCUACUGUGUCCAUCUGCAGAGGUGGGAAGAAAGUCUUCAUUGAGGGCCAGACGCAUCUCUGGACCGAGAUCCUGCAGAGUCUUGAGACCUGCUUUACAUAACUGUAAACACAUGCACGUCAAUACACACCCGUUGUAGGAUUAGUGACCGUAUGGCUGACAGACCUGUACGGCUGACGGGUUGGUGGCGUCAGUCUCCACACUCAGACCCCCUCUCUCCUUCCUCUUCCGGAACUUGCGGAAGUAAUCUUGGAUCAGGAAAGUGGCAUAGAACUUCCCAACUGUCACUUCCUCCUCUGCAGCAGGAAACACCAGAGAGACAGAGACUGGUACAGAUCUUCUUGAUGAUCCCCCUUAGCUCCUCGUUCUCCUGAUCUGGGUUGCCUGGCGACAGCACCGCAUGUCAAAAGACAGCCAUGUUGACUGAAACAUUUGUUUCCCGAGGACAUACCUUCGGUCUUGAUCUUCAGUGCCGUGCGGACCAGCGCAAAGAGGGUGGCGUUGAAUGUCACCAUGCCGUCUGCAUUCAGAGGCAUGUUCAUAGCCACCAGACGCUACCAACAGCAACAUCAACACCGAGGCAGGAAAGUUUAAUGCACGCAGGAAGUGACUUUUGGCUUCAGCCUCAUGUGUUCCACCGAAUACUUUAUGUUUUACAUAUGUUAGCUUUAAUUACCUUACACGCUACUCUGUGAGGACACAGUUUUCCAAAGCCAAGAGGAGGUUGUAUCCUUCGAAGUAGAGCCACAACAUCCAAAUGUUUAAUGCGACCCCUGUGCAACAAUAACACAGAAAUGGAUGACUCCUCCUACUCCUACCAAUUAUGAAAAAAAAUAAUAAUCACGAUUAUUUUCAUUAUUGACAUCACGAUUAGUAAACACGGUUAUUCACUGAUUUCGAAACUUAGUAUUUAGUCAACUUUAAGCAUAACUUAAAUGAACAACCAGAAAAUACAUUUGCAAAAGGUAAAGUAAUAAUAAUAAUAAUAAUAAUAAUAGUAAUAAUAAAAAAAAAAUAAAACAAAUACAGACAUGCUUAAAAAUGUGCCAAUGUUUUUAGCCAUGACUGUAUUGUCUAUAAAAUAUAUAUUUGUCUAAAAAACACGAUUAUUCAUUGAAUUCGAAACUUUAAAUACAACUUGGCACGAUGGAGACUGGUUGGAGCGUCUGCCUCACAGUUCUGAGGACCGGGGUUACCCACGAGCAAUUUAGAGUCUUCAAUCAACCUACCACGCAUGUUUUUGGGAUGUGGGAGGAAACCGGAGUGCCCGGAGAAAACCCACCCAGGCACGGGGAGAACAUGCUAACUCCACACAGGCGGGGCCCGGGAUUUGAAUCCCGGUCCCCAGAACUGUGAGGCAGAUGUGGUAACCAGUCGGUAGGUAAAAUAACAACAACAAUAAUGAUAAUAAUAAUGAAUAAAAAAAAUAUAGACACGGUUAAAAAUGUGCCAAUGUUUUUAGCCAUUAA